GAGAGCUAUGUGAUGGGUAACUAUCCAGCACAGUUCGGAGAGCACUUGUAGUCUGCAACGGUGGGUGAAUGAAUGGAGGCCCCCUAUCAAGCAAGAAAGAAGAGACUCUUCCCAUGACAAAGUCACCAUUGACUCUAU